AGGAUGCUGCCCGAAUUGAAUUGGUCAGCAGCGGCAAGUCGUUCCUA
rnacentral:sRNA from 1 species